rnacentral:rRNA from 1 species
UGUAAGCGUAUACCAAAGUUGUUGCAGUUAAAACGCUCGUAGUCGGAAUUUGGCAGUUCCGGAUGUGUGCACGUCGUGUGCGCACUUCGCGGGGAUUGCUUUUGUGGUCUUGCGUAGGAUGAGGCACUUUUAUUAGUGAACGUCCUCACGCAACCACUUUUUACUGUGAGAAAAUCAGAGUGCUCAAAGCAGGCAUUUGCCGUGAAUGUAUUAGCAUGGAAUAAUAGAAUAGGACUUGGUUCUAUUUUGUUGGUUUGUUGGGACUGAGUAAUGAUUAAGAGGGACAGUUGGGGGCAUUUGUAUUUCGGUGCUAGAGGUGAAAUUCUUAGAUUACCGAAAGACAAACUGCCGCGAAAGCGUCUGCCAAGGAUGUCUUCAUUGA